rnacentral:lncRNA from 1 species
AAAACCUCAAAGCGGAUUCUGAAUUACAGCAGGUUGAUUCAAAGGGGAUUAGUUCUCCAUAGUCAUCUUGCUAGCUCUCAAAAAAUCGUACAUGAACAGAAAAACGUCAUUCUGUUUUUGAUUGCCUAACCUAGGUAAAAACACCCAAACCCGUUUCACAACUCAACCGGGUCAAAUGUACGAUCCCGGCCCAAUACAACUAACCCAAACAAAAUAUAAAAAAUAAUGCAGCAGCUUCAACGAAAUUUUUGACACUGCUACAUUCUGAUUCAGCUCUC